UGCUGCUUAUUGUCCAUCCCUGCGAGGGCAGGAUCGUUAUUCAGCUCCCUCCUAGAUCUUGUGAUGAAAGUUGUGAACUUCACUGCGAGCGGGGAACGGAAGGAAACCCGGAGAGUGGGCUCAGCUCCUCCCUUCCCUCUAGCGACAAUCGGGCCCGUGGGCUCCGGAGAGUGUCGCAGGAGUGAAUCGUGACAACCAGUAACCUUUUAUCGAGCGCUUGCCUAAUAGAGCUGGACCCUAACAGCACUCAAAACUGUAGGACGUAGAUGCUGUUAUCAUCCCCCUGUAACAACGGCACCGAGUGUCAGCGAACACCCUUGUCCAGGGUCACGCAGCUAGUCUGUCGCUAAAGUUCAGGCUGCCAUAAUAGUAAAAAGGGUGAAGUGGGGACAGAGAGGCCGGCUUUGGACGACUGGUUGGAGACAGUCCUGAGUAUUUCGGUUUUUCCUUGUUCCACUAGAGGGAAAGGGCUCCACCGCUUUGUGGCAAAUGUGACCUCAGCAGCCUCAGCACACAGGCCGGUAUAGGUCCAUCUCAGAAACCCUUGCUGACACACGUGACCUCAGAGUCCUCUAAGGCCAUUCUCCUGUUUUCGACAUAUUUCAGGAGACUACAGAUUCUAACCUGAAAGUCACUUCGCUGGCAUUUACUACGUCAUCUCAGACAAGUUACUCAAUCUCACUGACCCCCAAACUUCAGUUCCCUCAUCUGUUUUGAGGGGAUAAGACUAUCUUCACUUUAUAUUUGAUUGGAGGACAACAGCCUUGAACACAAAAGGAGUUUCCCUCGUUUUGGUUUUGUUUUAAUAUUGAAAUACUGCUGACAGAGGCUUCAGUCAGGAUAUCCAGUACCAAAGCCUGGCCUGGGCUUCCCAUAGAGCACAGAGAAGAGCCACGGGUGAAGGGACUGCAGAAUUUCAAAGAAAUGAGACAAGGAUUUGGCUUCAAGAUGAGGUUUUAAGAUCAGGAGAGAAGAUAAAGAAGCUUCUUCAAAGCAGAAAAAACCUGGAAACUCUGCAUCCACUCACUGUAACUUUAGGGGGGAAUGCUCUCCAAGGGUCUACUUUACAAAAAAGACUAAAAACCUUUAGAAAACCGAUGUGGAAAUCCUAAGACUUAGCAGAACUUAUAGAGCAUCCAACCACUCUAUAGGAAGAAAGCCCUGAGAACUCCAACCAGGAAGAACCUCUCAACAUUAGAUUCUCUGAGCACCAGGGGACUCAUUCAGGAAAAGAACCUCACCGGUGCCUCGGUUGUGGGCAAAGCUCCCUUUGUUCAGACUUUUGUAAAUGCUAACAUCUCCCAUCAGAGGAGAGAUCCCGUGAAUGCGCUACAUCUUAUGGAAAGCAGUGUGACUGUGUUUUAAGAAUAUUAAAAUUUGGGGGUGCCUGGGUGGCUCCAUCGGUUAA